UACGAAGGGGGGCUAGCGUUGUUCGGAAUACUGGGCGUAAAGCGUGCGCAGGCGGCGGCUCAAGUCAGGUGUGAAAUCCCCGGGCUUAACCUGGGAAUUGCGCUUGAAACUAGGUCGCUAGAGUGUGGCAGAGGGGGGUGGAAUUCCACGUGUAGCAGUGAAAUGCGUAGAGAUGUGGAGGAACACCGAUGGCGAAGGCAGCCCCCUGGGUCAAGAUUGACGCUCAUGCACGAAAGCGUAGGGAGCAAACAGG
rnacentral:rRNA from 1 species